rnacentral:rRNA from 1 species
CCUACGGGUGGCAGCAGUGAGGAAUAUUGGUCAAUGGGCGCAAGCCUGAACCAGCCAAGUCGCGUGAGGGAUGACGGUCCUAUGGAUUGUAAACCUCUUUUGUCGGGGAGCAAGGCCCGCCACGUGUGGCGGGGAGGAGAGUACCCGAAGAAAAAGCAUCGGCUAACUCCGUGCCAGCAGCCGCGGUAAUACGUAGGAUGCGAGCGUUAUCCGGAUUUAUUGGGUUUAAGGGGUGCGUAGGCGGAAGGUUAAGUCAGCGGUCAAAUGGCGGUGCUCAACACCGGCCUGCCGUUGAAACUGGGCUUCUUGAGUGAGCGAGAAGUAUGCGGAAUGCGUGGUGUAGCGGUGAAAUGCAUAGAUAUCUCGCAGAACUCCGAAUGCGAAGGCAGCAUACCGGCGCUCAACUGACGCUGAGGCACGAAAGCGUGGGGAGCGAACAGGAUUAGAUACCCCUGUAGUC